CCAGCUCUACAGAGUGGCGCUCUGAUUCUCUCUCUCACCAACAAGUAACAAGGACGCGGAGUUUCCGGGGUCAACUGCUACAGAGGUGGGGACUGGGACUUGAACCUGGGUCUUUGCACAUCGUAACAUGAGUGCUCAACCUGGAGCAUCAGCACCGGUCCUCCCCAAUAAAAUGAUCUGAAAAAAAAAAUGACGUGGAAGUUUCAGACCAGGCCAACUGACCAACUGUAACACUACUACAAAAACACAUACCUUUGACAGACAAAUGAUAAGCAAAACCAUUUCUUCAGAUGAAAACUGGUGAUUUAAAAAUCUGAAGCCUAAGCAUAUUGUUCAAAUAUUUACAAGGAUGACAUUUCUUCCAAGAUACUGAGAGAAAAAGUUCUGAAGUCAAGCGAUUGGGCAUGUUCUCAAUUCCUUUAAGUGCCCAAAAUUAAAUCCUUUCUGAAUGA